rnacentral:rRNA from 1 species
UACGUAGGGUGCAAGCGUUAAUCGGAAUUACUGGGCGUAAAGCGUGCGCAGGCGGUGCUGUAAGACAGAUGUGAAAUCCCCGGGCUCAACCUGGGAACUGCAUUUGUGACUGCAAGGCUAGAGUACGGCAGAGGGGGAUGGAAUUCCGCGUGUAGCAGUGAAAUGCGUAGAUAUGCGGAGGAACACCAAUGGCGAAGGCAAUCCCCUGGGCCUGUACUGACGCUCAUGCACGAAAGCGUGGGGAGCAAACAGG